rnacentral:rRNA from 1 species
AACUCUCAGCGGUGGAUCACUUGGCUCGUGCAUCGAUGAAGAACUAAUGUGAAUCGCAGGACACAUUGAUCAUCAACACUUCGAACACACUUGAGGGUAAUGGCACUGUCUCUUGCACUUCAAAUUAAUGCUU